rnacentral:tRNA from 1 species
GGGCCCGUGGCGCAGGCAGGACAGCGCGGCAGGCUUCGGACCUGUAGGUCGAGGGUUCAAAUCCCUCCGGGCCCG